UAUUCUGUGUUAAAAUUUUUGAAAAAUUUUAUUUUAAAAAAGAAUAAUCUGUAAUCAUAUUUAGAAAGCUGUACCAUAAUAUGAAUAGACAAAAUUGUCUAAACUGUCAGAAAAGAAGACCAAUAUAACAAUAAGCUUCAUGUUGUAGCUCAUCUACCUGAAAUAAAAUGAAUUAGUUGUAAAUACAUGAGACCUAGGAUAGAGGUGGAGAUGUUUGUCAACCUGUUUUAAUUUUCUCUUUGCCUUUUUCCCAGCCUUUUAUUCCUACUUGAAGAAAAGUCAUGAAGAAUAAAAGCAAAAGGUUUAAAAAUAAUUACGAUAGGUAAGAGAUGUUAGGAUUGCUCAACCUUUUUUUGGGGAAAAAAAAGAACAGGCAGGCAUUCUGUGAAAAGCCAAAGCACUUGAAUAAACAUGUGUUUAUGAUUAAAAAGAUGGGCUGUCUUGUUUUUGCUGUGCUGAUUUAAGCCAGUCUGCCAGCUCUAUAAAAUGUGAUUAAUUCCUCUGACAAUAACAGCAGUGGGAUUUAUUCCUUACUCCUAUGCAAUUGUUAAUUGCUCUUGAAUUGUUUACUGCUGUAGUUGUUUUACAAGUGCAAAGACAAACAGAAAGAAACUCCUUCCCCUUUCAAACCUUAAAUCCCAGGUGUGAUUGAAUGCUUGGCAGAUUUUGGUAAGGGUGUACACAGGUUAUGACUACAGCUUGUUAGUUUAAAAAAAUGGAGGUGAUGACGCCUCUAUAAUUAUAGGUGUUGCAGUUUUAAAGUCAGAAUGUUUUUCCAUCCAUUGCUCUGCCCCACCCCCUGUAUCCUAUGAGCCAUGUUUCCUGGAGUCUUUCAGAUUUUAGAUGUUUUGUGAGGAUCCUUAAAAUCCAUCAACAAGCCUUUGUCAUGAGGAAAACUAUGAAAUUAAUUUUGAAGUUGUUUAUCCAUCAUAUAUACACAUAGUAAAAUAAUGCUAUUGUUUAUUAGAGAAAGGCAGUUAUUUUUAUUUUGCCAAUGUGCUUCUGAAUGUAGAGCUUUGUAGGACUGAAAAUAGUAGAGUUUAAGAAGGGAAGGAUUUUAAUUAGUUCAUAGCUAGUGCUUUUUUCUGAGCAAGGUAUGUAACGCUUCUAGCAAUUUGUCAAAUAUUCUUUUUGACAUUGUAAUUUUAUUUUUGUUCUGUAAUUGAAGCAAGCAAUCUUGAAUGUGUGGAUAUAAUAAUGGUUCAUUUAAAAAUACAAUUAAUUGAUCUGUCACUUACUGCAAGCCAGUUACUUAAUUCAUUGAUUACCUGGGCAGAAUAUCUUCUAUUUUGAACCUGGAUACCUUUUUAGAAUUUUAACCUGCUGGGUAUAUGCAGUUACUGUACUAAAAUUAUGUUAAAUUUAUACUGAAAAUGUGUUGAUUAACUUGCAGUUUUGUGGCUUAGUGAAGAAAAGUGGGGGGGAAAUUGCUUGCUAUUGUAAAGAAUUUCAGACCAGGUAUUAUUCAGCAUGUGAAGCAUGAUAGUUUAGUUAAAUUACAUCAGAUUUCUACAGAUGUUAGAUAGGCAUUAAUAAAUUAUGGGCUUAUCCAGAAUAGUCUGCUCUAGAGUAUUUCAGAUGUAAAUAACAUGUGAAGCUAAAAGUUUGCCUGUGCUUUCCCUGCUAUUCUCAUUUGCAAGGCUGGAUAAUUCUAAUAUAUGCAAAACCAUAUAAUAGAAUUAUUAUAUGCCAUAAAUAAAAUACAUUGACUUCAAUGGAAGUUUCUCUUGGAAAAAAAUAUUGAUAGCUUGCAUCUUAAUCUCACCACUCUCUCUCUCUCCUCCCAGCUCUUUAAUGUCACUCUUCAUAUGAAGUUGCUCUUCUUGCAUUUUGUCUGUAACAAGAUAUCAGAAAACCUUAUCUGGAUCUAUACCGUAUAUCAUUUAAUAAAAAGAUGAAGCUAUUCUGUUUAUUUUCUCCAAUAAUAUUGGAAAAACCAAUCACUGCCAGAUUUAUAGAAGCCCUUCCCUUUUCUUUUGAGAUGAAAAAAACUGCAAAAAAAUGAGAAAUAAACAUUCUAUUUGUGCUUCCUUCUUUGACACAGUCCAUGCCUUUACAUUGCCUCUUUCUUUCUCCCAGUGUCACACAACAAUACAUAGAUACAUUUGCUUCUAUCUUCCUGUUAGUGGCGUCCAUUGUGUACCUCUAAUUCUCUUUGGAGGCGCGUCUGGCUCAAGGAAGAGAAAAAAUAAUUAUAAUGAAGUAUUUUCUUCUGUUUUUAAAAGAUGGAUAAUGCGAUCAUGUUUCAAAUAGAUUUUGAAGAAAGGAAAUAAUGAGCAAAUGCGCAUCUGGGAUGGGCACCAUCUAUUGCUCCUCUUCACUCAACUCAGGCCCUGAAGACAGCGGAUUCUCUACCUGGGGAGGACGGAAGGCCCCAGCUCUGCUUCUGCCUCUGAUGUUGUUUCCUUAUCAGGGGCUUCCAAAGGCUCCGAAGCUGGCCCAGGUUCUCCUUCAACCUCUUCAUCGUCUAGCUCUGCUGGCAGCCAACGGGCCACAACAGGUUGUUGUGGUGGGGGAAAAUAGAAGAAGAAGCAAUGUUCCAUGCCUUGAGUUAUUUAUUACAAAAAGGGGGGGGGAGAAUUUAGGAUCAGGAAAACAUGAGGACAGAAAUAAUUGUUCAUCUUUUAAAAAUUCUUGUCUAGAUUUUAUCAAUCAGUACAGCUGAAUUUGAUUUGAAUAUUUAUAUGGUGCAAAUAUAUUUCUUAUAUUUUUUUACAGCAAGUACAAUUUUAAAAACCCUAAUAUGAAAUAUAUAAAAUAGGCAAUCCACAUCAGAUGUUUAUUUAUUUAUUUUUGGUUGUGAUGAUGUAGCUAUCUGGUUAGCUAAAAAGUGGAGAAAUGCUACUGCUACUACUAUAUUAUUAAAAAAAUUAUUCAGUCUUUUUUUCUAAAGACUAGAUAAAAUGAGAUAAUAAAUUGUGAAUUUCCCCACUCCAUGGGCAAACCCUACAAGAGUCAAAAGGGAAAGGCAUUUUAAGUUUUUCAUUACAAAGGGAGGGUCAUAAUCAAGGAAAAUAAAUACAGGUGUCUUCAUUUAGUGAUUGCAAUUGUCUCAAAGUUGUGAUCAUGCGAUUGGGAUACUGCAACAAUCAUAAAUUUGAAAAUUGGUUGCAAAGUUUGUUGGAUUUAUAGCACCUUCAUAACUGAAUAGUCACUGUAUGAGGCAGUCAUUACACAAGGACUAUCUACACAAUUUUGCUGAUAAGGAAACUUUCUCUUCUUGUCAUGGUAGAGUAGAACUGGGUUAUCCAAUAAGACUGAAAGAUGGGGAACUCAGAAGGAAAAAAAUCUUCAUUGCUGUGACAAUCUGUGCAAUUUACCACCACAAUUGUGAUAACCAUGAACUUGUACAUUUAAAGGCAAAUUGGUGUGCCAGCUGGCCCAGAGUUCUUUUUCUUUUUGUUUGGAACCUGACACAAAUUUGCAAAGGAGAAGGCUGCUGGUGGCUUCUUUUAAUAUUAUAAGCCAUAUGUCUCCAAGAAGAGUCUUUGAGGAACAUGAUCAAGAAGAAAUUACUAAAUUCAUGUCUUCAUCAUAAGAAAGAAUUAUUUCCGAUAUGAUCAUGACUUUUUUAUAUUUAUAUUUUUUAAUAUUUAUUUGACUGCUUCAUCUUGUGAACUGUGCUGUCUUUCACACAGGUCAUGCAGGUCUGUAGGUUGCUAUUGGGCUAGUAUUAUACUUUUAUUGUCCAACAUACUAUAUUCCCCAUACAUUUACAUUUAAGCAUGUAUUAGCAGGGAACCCUAUUGUGACUCUGAAAUAUGAAUACCUAAUAUAAUUUAUUUCAGCAGAUACAAUUCCUUGAAUUUUUAAUAGAAAACACUUCUAAGCUAUAUUUUUCUUCACUAGAGGGGUGAUACUGAAGGUGGAAUUGCUGGCCAGAAACAGUCUGCACUCUGGCGGCUCCAACCCACCUCCGUGAGAUGCAGUGAGCCCCCAUCGUUCGACCUGUAGCUCCUGCCCAUCCAGCAGUUCAAAAGCAUCAAAAGAUAUUGUGAAUAGAUAAAUGGGUACCACUUCGGUGAGAAAAGCCUAACUCAGAUGUAAAGAGCGUAGAAGCCAGCAGUGGAUUUGGCUGGAUGCGAGGUGUGAGAUGAGGUAAGGCAAGGUGAGACCAGCAGAAGAACCUGGAAGAGCCAGCACCCUGAGCGCUGCUAGCUAAUGGUGCAAAGCUAGUUCACCCCCUGCGGUGCACCAAGAAUAGACGCACAAGAGCCAAACAGAAUGAACUAGCAGUGUAGGCUAUCAGGACUGUAUGGUGUCUAGCAUAUGUAGAUUUCCCUAACAUUGUAUGUCAUACGCUAAAUAAUAAAUAAUUAUAAACAAU